GAGUUUGAUCCUGGCUCAGAAUGAACGCUGGCGGCAUGCCUAACACAUGCAAGUCGAACGAAGGCUUCGGCCUUAGUUGGCGCACGGGUGCGUAACGCGUGGGAAUCUGCCCUUGGGUUCGGGAAUAACAGUUAGAAAUGACUGCUAAUACCGGAUGAUGUCGUAAGACCAAAGAUUUAUCGCCCAAGGAUGAGCCCGCGUAGGAUUAGCUAGUUGGUGGGGUAAAGGCCCACCAAGGCGACGAUCCUUAGCUGGUCUGAGAGGAUGAUCAGCCACACUGGGACUGAGACACGGCCCAGACUCCUACGGGAGGCAGCAGUGGGGAAUAUUGGACAAUGGGCGAAAGACCUGAUCCAGCAAUGCCGCGUGAGUGAUG
rnacentral:rRNA from 1 species